rnacentral:misc_RNA from 1 species
UGGGGAAUUGGGUUUGGCCUGGGAUUCAGAGUUGUGUCUCUUUCUCCUAGCUUCCGGAGGUUGGGUAUUGAGCACAUUGUCUCAGCUUAUAAAAGGACAAAUAGAAGAGCAAUAUUUCUGGACUAUGAUGGUACUGUUGUUCCACAUACAUCUAUUGUUAAAAGCCCCAGCCCUGAAGUCAUAUCUGUUCUGAAAACUCUGUGCAAUGAUCCAAAUAACACUGUCUUUAUUGUUAGUGGGAGAGGGAGAAAUUCAUUGAGUGAGUGGCUUGAGCCAUGUGAGAGAUUAGGAAUAGCAGCUGAACA